rnacentral:RNase_P_RNA from 1 species
UCCGGGAAGCGAUCAUUCGCUGUUUAUAAAUGAUUAUGAAUAGAGGAAAGUCCGGACAUCACAGGGCAGAAUUCCCCGUGAAAACGGGGGGAAGUUAGCGUCAUGCUAAAUUCACGGCUAGUGCAACAGAAAACAAACCGCCUUGAAUUCAAGGCAAGGGUGAAAAGGUGGGGUAAGAGCCUACCGCCACAGAGGUAACAAUGUGGGCUUUGCAAACCCAAUUCGAUGCAAGACGAAAUAGGAAACGGGGUAGCCCGCCCAAUGGUUUCGGGUACGUCGCAUCUCCGAAAGGAGAAUCACUUGUUGAUAGAUAAAUGAAUGAUCUAUGACAACAGUCAUUGAACAGAAUCUGGCUUACAGCUUCCCGGAAUCU